rnacentral:rRNA from 2 species
AGAGUUUGAUCCUGGCUCAGAACGAACGCUGGCGGCAGGCCUAACACAUGCAAGUCGAACGCAUCCUUCGGGGUGAGUGGCAGACGGGUGAGUAACACGUGGGAACGUGCCUUUCGGUUCGGGAUAACCCAGGGAAACUUGGGCUAAUACCGGAUACGCCCUUUGGGGGAAAGAUUGAUUGCCGAAAGAUCGGCCCGCGUCUGAUUAGCUAGUUGGUGAGGUAACGGCUCACCAAGGCGACGAUCAGUAGCUGGUCUGAGAGGAUGAUCAGCCACACUGGGACUGAGACACGGCCCAGACUCCUACGGGAGGCAGCAGUGGGGAAUAUUGGACAAUGGGCGCAAGCCUGAUCCAGCCAUGCCGCGUGAGUGAUGAAGGCCCUAGGGUUGUAAAGCUCUUUCGGCGGGGACGAUAAUGACGGUACCCGCAGAAGAAGCCCCGGCUAACUUCGUGCCAGCAGCCGCGGUAAUACGAAGGGGGCUAGCGUUGUUCGGAAUCACUGGGCGUAAAGGGCGCGUAGGCGGCCAUUCAAGUCGGGGGUGAAAGCCUGUGGCUCAACCACAGAAUUGCCUUCGAUACUGUUUGGCUUGAGACCGGAAGAGGUCAGUGGAACUGCGAGUGUAGAGGUGAAAUUCGUAGAUAUUCGCAAGAACACCAGUGGCGAAGGCGGCUUACUGGUCCGGUUCUGACGCUGAGGCGCGAAAGCGUGGGGAGCAAACAGGAUUAGAUACCCCGGUAGUCC